rnacentral:rRNA from 1 species
AUGCAGCGAACAAAGCUGCAGGUGUGGCAUUGUGGCAAAGCUCAUCGCCAAGUUAGCACAAUUUUGCCUCCAGCAGCGCCCAUAUCCCAUCACCAUAUCUCAUCCAUCCACGUGAGAAUCUCGCUUGCCCAAGUGAGGCAAACAGUCCCUGCAAAACAGAAAUCCAUGGCGGCUAUCGGCAGGAGACAACGCCCACAAAGCACAAAACCGGCAGUGCAAAGUUCAACCAAGAAGAAGCAAAACGAUGCAAACGGAACAACAACGAUGAAACGGAGCGAAAAGGUUUGUUUCCUCUUCCAAGCUCUUCCCCAGGCUAUGCAAGUCUGGACCCAAGUCUGGUACUAUGCACAGCCCGCCGCCACCCCGGCCCCCACCACGGAGGUGUGGAAACAGCGGCGACGGGCUUCGACCGACAAUUGUAAACCAACGAACCGUCUGUCAUCGACGACACGAACGAACAAAAGUCUUAAGAAAAGGAAAAGAGCCGAAUGCCGGCUAGAGUUCUUUUUUGUUUUUUUUGUUUCGACUGACGCUCAUUGA